rnacentral:tRNA from 2 species
GCGCUCUUAGCUCAGUUGGAUAGAGCAUCGGUUUUCUAAACCGAGGGUCGCAGGUUCGAAUCCUGCAGAGCGCGCCA